UACGUAGGGUGCGAGCGUUAAUCGGAAUUACUGGGCGUAAAGCGUGCGCAGGCGGUUCGUCGUGUCUGAUGUGAAAUCCCCGGGCUCAACCUGGGAACUGCAUUGGUGACUGGCAAGCUAGAGUAUGGCAGAGGGGGGUAGAAUUCCACGUGUAGCAGUGAAAUGCGUAGAGAUGUGGAGGAAUACCGAUGGCGAAGGCAGCCCCCUGGGCCAAUACUGACGCUCAUGCACGAAAGCGUGGGGAGCAAACAGG
rnacentral:rRNA from 1 species